rnacentral:lncRNA from 1 species
AGUGCCACGUCUGCACAUUUCUUGAACACCUCCAAGGAUGGUGACUCCACCACAUCUCCAGGCAGCCUGUUUCAGUGCCUUACCGCCCUUUCUGAGAAGAAACUUUUUCUUAUAUCCAACUUGAACCUCCUCUGGUGUAACUCGAGGGCAUUACUUCUCAUCCUAAGUGACAUUAAUUCAUAGCAACUUUCGAAUAAGAGGGAUCUUGUACAAAUCUCAUGGUUAUUGCAGCGAAAGGCACAUUGGUGGUCUUUCUGCUAAGCAGCUCCCUUUGCUGAAAGGACUUUUUCCAAAGCAAGUGGUCUGGAUAGCAAGAUUACUGUGUGACUUUUCCGUGUACUGCAUACCAUAUUCUCUGGCAAACACAUUAUCAGAAAGAGGGGUCCUGUAGGAGAUGAAGAGAAAGGAAGGCUGAGACAAAACCUACAUCAUCCGGCCACAUCUGCAUUGGACCCAAGGCUGGGUGAACCACAUCUGUAUGGCUUCAGGCUGAAAACUGAAGACACUUAAAAGGUCUUAACCAAGUGAGCCCACUAAACUGAUUUUGAGUUCAGGUGGAUGAGAGCUCAGACCUGUUCCAGUGUACCAGCAGCUCGAGCAGGUUACAAAACAUUGGUGCCUUUAAAUGUGGAUUUUAAUGGCUUUUAACUUCCUCCUCAACCAGGCAAUGAUUGCCAUGAGUGGAAAGACAUCCCUGUGGAGAUUACUGAGAUGUGUUUGGAGCACGCCUUCAUGCCCAUGCAGUUUCGACAGAGCCUAUCACCAUGCAUGGGCUGAGGGAUGCAGUGAGGAGCUCUGGGCUACGACCAGCCGGGCUUUUCUUAGAUGAAACAAGCAUCCAACACCAGGCAGGCAAACCCAGCUCCAUCCAAAAAAACCCAGCACUGCAUGGAACAAGGUGGUGGAUGUGCAGGCAGCAGGAUUACCAGCGUCAUCCUGCCAGCUGGGGCUGCAAGGAGCGUGUGCCAGGAAGGAGGCCAAGGUUUCACAUUCCCUUAUGUCUAAAAGGUCUGUGGGGCAUUUGGGUGAAGCACUGAAAACUGAAAAUAUAAAAAAAAAUGGUAUAAAGCUUGAAUAAGAUGUUCAGAUUCAAGGUCUGUGUUUGCAUUUGAGGUGAAUAAAUAGUGGUACUUUGUAGUGAGCGGUAUCCACCGUCACCUCUGGUUGAUGGUACUUCCAUGUGAGGGUUCCCACCAAUGGACAAGCGCAAGUGUACAUUGCACAACAGAUAGCAAUUGGAAGAAGUCAGUUUUUCAGGCUCGUGUCCAACAGAAUCAUCAGAUCUUUCUCUAGUACGCAUAUUUUCAAGUUUUUGUAGUCAUCUCAUCUCUUCAUAUAAUCAAAUUAAUUUGAAUACUUUCUUAAAAUCCAACAGUCUUUACCAAGCACAAUGGUAUCUGGAGAAACCUCUCAUAGAAAGGCUGAAGAUGUCCUGACAGCAUUUCCUUGCCUUUGGGAGUUCGUGAAAGGUAUGCCAGAGUCCCGCUCCAGCUCAUUCUGCUUUCUGUUUACUUUCUGAUGGCCUGCAGAGUGUUUGAUAUGUGUCCACAAACUUCCUAAUUCACCACAGUAUGUCUGUUUGCCAAGAUUUACUUGACCCGAAUUCUUUUGAUAACAAUUGUUUGUGACAAUUUUAACACAGGUUGUACAGAAGGAGAUAGCUGGUUUAAUAGAUGCUGUGACCUGGACAUUCAUGCUUUACCAUUUUGUUGCCAACAGGAAGCUCAUGGGAUUUUUUCCCCCCAAUUUAUUUAUUUUUAAUCUUAGCUAAUUAUUUUCCAACGAUAUAUUUUCUCACAGCUGGAAGACUGAGCUGUUGUAUAUAUGUCCUAAAUUGCUAACUUACCUUUUGGUAUUCAGCAUAAUGUCUCUUCAGAAAGGCAUUUGAGUCUAAAGACAGUUGUGCUUCUCAUUGCUCUGCCACAUAACAGCGAGUCACUCAUUGCAUUCAGUCAUCAGCUCUUAACUGCAAUUGUUGCUGUGAAAGAGGCAGAAAAAAUAUGUUACCUGGUGCGACUGCUCACUACAAUUUUUCUAUUGGGUAUUCUAAAUACAUUCUGCUUAUAUUUCCUUUAUCCUUGGUCUGAUUCAUUAAAUAAGUCACUUUCAU